rnacentral:tRNA from 1 species
AAGGGAGACCUAAUUCAGGUAAGAGACGAAAAAAAAGUAGUCGCUACCAAGAAUCAAUCCCAAAAGGUCGGAGCGAGGCGAAAUUGGCUUUCAAACUAGGUUCUGGGUUCACACAAGACCUGAAUCAGGAACAAGGGCUAUUAGCUCAGGUGGUUAGAGCGCACCCCUGAUAAGGGUGAGGUCCCUGGUUCGAGUCCAGGAUGGCCCACCUGUACAGGUGGCAAAAAGAAAGAAAAGAAGCGAGGAAUCAGCACCUUAUCUUACUGACAUAGUAAGAGAGAAUGCUGGCUCUGAGUAAAGAGUCCAGAGGAACCUUGAAAACUGCAUAGAGCUAGGUGAAAAAGCCAAAAAAGAAGACCGCAA